UUCGCCACCCUGGCUGCAUGUUAGAAUAACAAACGAAGCUUUUAGAAAUGCCAGGUGACUGGGCCCCUCCCAGACCUCAGAUUGUAUUCCGGUCAGUGUGGGGGAGUGGACAGGAAUCCGCGGAUUUUGAAAUCAUGCCAGGUGAUACAAAUGUGCAGCCAGGGUUAGAACUCAUCAGCUAGAAGAAAAGGCCUAAGUGCAUUGAGGAACUUGUGCUGGGUGUCCUGGAGAGAGAGGGUAACAGUGGGUGGAAAGAGAAAGAGAAGAGGCCAUGAGAAGAUGAGAAAGGCGAAGGGACUAAGCAGUACAAUCCGGCGGUUCCAGAACAGCCACAGAGAUGUGAGUUACAGCAUAAGAAGUGUGGUCAGUGAUAUCUGGGUGCGUAUGUGUGGGACCAGGGUUGAAGAACAAGUUGAAUGGCAGGACAAGGUGGCAAGCAGAGAAACUCAGACUGUGGGGCAACCGACUGGAUUUUCAACAAGUGGUGUUUGUUAAAAAGAAAAAAAGAAGGAGUGUGCUAUAUCACGGACUUGCGGGACAUCAUGAUCAGAUGCGAGGCAUGGUCGCAGAUUGAGUUGUAGGUUGAACAAAUGAGAUGUAGAGGGCAUUUUGGGAACAAAUCGUGGAAUUCGGAUAUCAGUCAGGCAUUACACAAGAGAAAACGUGUUGACACGGAAAGUUGGAGAAUCUUAAUAAAAUAAGCAGAUAAAGCAACAUAGUAUGCCUCAUUUCAGUAACACAUACACACACAUAAAUGUCUUGAGGGACAUACAGUAAGUUGUUAAUAAUGGUAAUUUCUUGGUGGUGGGAAUAUGGUGGGUUAUUUCAGUCUUCUCAAAUUUUUUGUAACUUUCCACAAUGCACACAUGCCUUUUAAUAAUAAUAAUAGAAGGAGGCAGUGACUGAAAGUGCAAAGAAGAUGACUGAGGAGGCCUCUGUGGGAGGCAGUAAAGUACAGCACCUCCAUCUGGGGCAGAAGUUCGACAUCUGGGAUGGAAGUCCAGAAUCCUGGCCUUUUAAUUCAUCCACCGGACUGCACCCAACAGAGGGAGUAAGAUUCCUGAGCAAGCCAUCCCACAUGGAACAGUUUUAUGGACCAUUUCCACCUUUUCGUGGAUUCCAUGAGAAGCAGUCCUACCUGCUCCUCCUCUGUGGGACCACAGAGCUGCUAGGACUUGUUAUAUUAUCUGAGAUUUCCAUUGUUCAGGUCUAGUACCAGAGAAAGAGUUCUCAGGCUCCUACCACCCCCAUCUGUUGUUGCCAUCUAGGUAUAUAAACAUGGAGGGAGGAAUAAAUGCUUCUGGAGAACGUGGCUCUUUGUUUUGUUUUUGGUUCCAAGUAGCUUUGAGGCAAAGCUGGGUUACUAGAAAGAUAUUAUGCACAUUAAGUAAGGCAUUUGAAACUUAAAUGUAACAAACCCACGAGAAAGUUUAGAGUGGACUCAGAGCUAGAGAAUGGCUGAGCCCAGAUGUAACCUGAGGACAUCCAAAGUUAAACCCAUCUCCUCCGGCAACUGGCAAAGCAGGAGACACACGUUUCAGGCCCCCAACUGGGCCCGUGAUCAGAUUUACCCUGGCUGGAGAGACCCCCUAGUCAAAUUAACCACACAUCAAAGCCACAAAUUCCUUCCUUAUCUUGGUGCUCUG